CUGGAAUGGCCCAAAUGCGGUCUAGGAAAUAUCCAAAAGGUACCCUUUUGAGGUUAUAACAAAGAAGUUUGAUGAUGAGAAAGGAAAGGCACCCAAGAUGUUAAUGCAGUAGAAAAAGUUAUUUUAGACCAUCGUUACUGGUGAUAAAUAACGAGUAAAUUACUCACGAAAAAAAAAAGGAAUCAUGAAAAGCACUUAUUUUGCGAGACGAAGCCCCAAAAGAUCUCGCACAUCAUGAACAUAUUGCAGUGCAUGAAGAAAAGAAAGUAAGUUUAGUAAAUCAACGUCAGAGGGGUCGCUAAUCCAACCUUCAAUAGGUAUGGCAUUUUCUUUAUGAGCAUUGUAACUGGCUGGAGAAUUAUCAAUUAUCAUGAUCCGUGAAAGAUGAAUAUUA